rnacentral:rRNA from 1 species
GACAGAGGUGCCGAGCGUUAGGCGGAAUCACUGGGCUUAAAGCGUGUGUAGGUGGAUGCCUAAGUACCUUGUGAAAUCCCACGGCCCAACCGUGGAAGUGCCUCUGAUACUGCGUGCCUAGAGGGGGACAGGGGCAUGCGGAACUUCCGGUGGAGCGGUGAAAUGCGGUAGAUAUCGGAAGGAACACCGGUGGCGAAAGCGGCGUGCUGGAUCCCUACUGACGCUGAGGGCACGAAAGCCAGGGGAGCAAACGGG